CCCCCCGCCCAGUCGAUAGCCACGAGUUGAAAACAGCUGACAUAGUACACUACAAAAAGAGUCAAAGCUGAACAUCGCAAAUAUUUUGAUCUAGCAAUUACAGUGAAGAUGAAAGAAAAUGAUAUAAUUGAUGUUAUGCAUGAAAAUGUAUACCGUUUUAAAAACAUGUUUAGAAACAGUGGUACAUGCUAAAUGUAGUGCAUUUGUCAUAGGCGAAAUA